rnacentral:rRNA from 1 species
AGCAGCCGCGGUAAUUCCAGCUCCAAUAGCGUAUAUUAAAGUUGUUGCAGUUAAAAAAGCUCGUAGUUGAAUUUCGGGAUCAAAUUGUCGGUCGUGCCUCGGUACGUACUGGUAUUAUUGGUUCCUCCCUUCUGACGAACCACGAUGUCAUUAAUUUGGUGUCAUGGGGAAUCAGGACUGUUACUUUGAAAAAAUUAGAGUGUUUAAAGCAGGCUCGCGCUUGAAUACAUUAGCAUGGAAUAAUGAAAUAGGACGUUUGAUUCUAUUUUGUUGGUUUCUAGGAUCGACGUAAUGAUUAAUAGGGAUAGUUAGGGGCAUUAGUAUUCAAUUGUCAGAGGUGAAAUUCUUGGAUUUAUUGAAGACUAACUACUGCGAAAGCAUUUGCCAAGGAUGUUUUCAUUAAUCAAGAACGAAAGUUAGGGGAUCGAAGACGAUCAGAUACCGUCGUAG